UGCUACAAACGCCAGCGUCCAUUAAAAGAAACGUUAAAUCCGCAAAUGAUAAAGCUGCAAAAGUUACACAAAGUUUACUCCAGAGAAGACCAAGACUGGCAAACAAACUCAGUGCACAUAACAAGAAGCAGAAGAGCGUCCCAGAGCAAGUUCCCGUUAAGACUGCGCCGGAUGAUGCUGACGACGAUUUGGAGCCUGGGUUCGUCAACCAAAAACGCACACUUUUCGACG